GUUAGUCUCAGCAGGGCGCUUGCGGUGGGAAUCGGCAGCUCUCUCGGAGGACACGGACACGCAUACAGCUCAUUCACAAGUGGCGCCAGUCUGAUUUGGGGACUGCCUGCUUCUCACCCUUUCCUGUCACCGGUGUAAAAUUUUCUUCCUGGAAGCCAGAGGGGCCACAACAGAAAAUGUUCCAGGUGGUACAUCCUUGCCCACAUGUUCCAUGACGAUGUUGGGAAGAGGAUAAAUUGGAAAGGGAUCACUAUGCAACACUCUAUGCCAGAUGGCAUUGGAGAUGUUGCUCCUGUGUAAGUAAUUGUAAUAUAUAUUUAAAACAAUCUGAAUUCACACAGCAGGCUUACAAAGUGUUCAAACUGGCAUUAGCACUACUUUAAAUAAACACAACCAUGCUUAUUAAUCGACGCAGGGGGUUUCAGAAAACAUUGCAGGGUCUGUUGGCUAAAAAAUUGACAACACAACACAGCAUCUGGCAAAGAACUGAAUUGCCAAGAUACACAUUACUACUACUAAUACACAUUUCUGGUAGACUCUGAAACUUGACUGUUAAAUUAUGAUUUUUGUUGUGAAGCAAGAUAAAAUAACUUUUGGUGCCUUACUUUCCAGAGUUGUUAUAUAGUUUCUCAUAAUAUUAUAAACAGUUAUACAGUGUUUUGACAUCUAACAAGCCUUAAAACGCAUGGAUCUUUUACUCCAACCAGCCUUCCUGGGUGAUAUUUCAUGGUCUAAUCGGCACAUGAGGACAUGCCUCCACCAAGUUUUUUGAACGCAGUGCUGUUUUCGGUCUGAACACUGUCUUAAUCUCCAGAAAAUACCUUGUUUGUUUAAUGUGUACAAAAGCUGAAGUGCUUUCCUGAUGUGUCUGCUGGUUCCAGGUCGUGGCCAAUAUAUAGUUAAUUACAUAACCACUUGUUAUAAUUUGUUUUUUGUUUAGAAUAAACUACUGUGAAUAACAUAUAAAGUGAAUUCUACUGACCAAGACCGAGAGACCAAUUAAAGGCUCAGGAACCCUUUGCAGGUGUUUUGGAUUAAU